GAUGAACGCUGGCGGCGUGCCUAAUACAUGCAAGUCGAGCGAACAGACGAGGAGCUUGCUCCUCUGACGUUAGCGGCGGACGGGUGAGUAACACGUGGAUAACCUACCUAUAAGACUGGGAUAACUUCGGGAAACCGGAGCUAAUACCGGAUAAUAUAUUGAACCGCAUGGUUCAAUAGUGAAAGACGGUUUUGCUGUCACUUAUAGAUGGAUCCGCGCCGCAUUAGCUAGUUGGUAAGGUAACGGCUUACCAAGGCAACGAUGCGUAGCCGACCUGAGAGGGUGAUCGGCCACACUGGAACUGAGACACGGUCCAGACUCCUACGGGGGGCAGCAGUAGGGAAUCUUCCGCAAUGGGCGAAAGCUUGACGGAGCAACGCCGCGUGAGUGAUGAAGGUCUUCGGAUCGUAAAACUCUAUUAUUAGGGAAGAACAAAUGUGUAAGUAACUAUGCACGUCUUGACGGUACCUAAUCAGAAAGCCACGGCUAACUACGUG
rnacentral:rRNA from 1 species